rnacentral:rRNA from 1 species
CCUACGGGGGGCAGCAGUGGGGAAUAUUGCACAAUGGGCGCAAGCCUGAUGCAGCCAUGCCGCGUGUGUGAAGAAGGCCUUCGGGUUGUAAAGCACUUUCAGCGGGGAGGAAGGCGGUGAGGUUAAUAACCUCAUCGAUUGACGUUACCCGCAGAAGAAGCACCGGCUAACUCCGUGCCAGCAGCCGCGGUAAUACGGAGGGUGCAAGCGUUAAUCGGAAUUACUGGGCGUAAAGCGCACGCAGGCGGUCUGUCAAGUCGGAUGUGAAAUCCCCGGGCUCAACCUGGGAACUGCAUUCGAAACUGGCAGGCUAGAGUCUUGUAGAGGGGGGUAGAAUUCCAGGUGUAGCGGUGAAAUGCGUAGAGAUCUGGAGGAAUACCGGUGGCGAAGGCGGCCCCCUGGACAAAGACUGACACUCAGGUGCGAAAGCGUGGGGAGCAAACAGGAUUAGAUACCCGAGUAGUC